CCUACGGGAGGCUGCAGUGAGGAAUAUUGGUCAAUGGGCGCGAGCCUGAACCAGCCAAGUAGCGUGAAGGAUGACUGCCCUACGGGUUGUAAACUUCUUUUAUAAAGGAAUAAAGUGAGGCACGUGUGCCUUUUUGUAUGUACUUUAUGAAUAAGGAUCGGCUAACUCCGUGCCAUCAGCCGCGGUAAUACGGAGGAUCCGAGCGUUAACCGGAUUUAUUGGGUUUAAAGGGAGCGUAGAUGGGUUGUUAAGUCAGUUGUGAAAGUUUGCGGCUCAACCGUAAAAUUGCAAUUGAUACUGGCAGUCUUGAGUACAGUUGAGGUAGGCGGAAUUCGUGGUGUAGCGGUGAAAUGCUUAGAUAUCACGAAGAACUCCGAUUGCGAAGGCAGCUUACUAAACUGCCACUGACAUUGAUGCUCGAAAGUGUGGGUAUCAAACAGGAUUAGAUACCCCAGUAGUC
rnacentral:rRNA from 1 species